AAGAUCAUACUUUUAGGGAUCAUUUCUAUAGUGGGCAUCUUGAAAACGUCAUCAAAAUAUGACGAAUCCUCAACUACGAUGAUGAGUCGUAGGGAUUCCUUCUGAGCAUGAAGCUUGGUUCACUUUAUUUUCGGAUAAUAUGAACUUUUGAGGAUUGUUCUUGGAUUUC
rnacentral:snoRNA from 1 species